rnacentral:rRNA from 1 species
AGUGAACGCUGGCGGUAGGCCUAACACAUGCAAGUCGAACGGCAGCACAGUAAGAGCUUGCUCUUACGGGUGGCGAGUGGCGGACGUGUGAGGAAUACAUCGGAAUCUACUUUUUCGUGGGGGAUAACGUAGGGAAACUUACGCUAAUACCGCAUACGACCUACGGGUGAAAGCAGGGGAUCUUCGGACCUUGCGCGAUUGAAUGAGCCGAUGUCGGAUUAGCUAGUUGGCGGGGUAAAGGCCCACCAAGGCGACGAUCCGUAGCUGGUCUGAGAGGAUGAUCAGCCACACUGGAACUGAGACACGGUCCAGACUCCUACGGGAGGCAGCAGUGGGGAAUAUUGGACAAUGGGCGCAAGCCUGAUCCAGCCAUACCGCGUGGGUGAAGAAGGCCUUCGGGUUGUAAAGCCCUUUUGUUGGGAAAGAAAAGCAGCAGGUUAAUACCACGCUGUUCUGACGGUACCCAAAGAAUAAGCACCGGCUAACUUCGUG